ACACGACUACAUUAGAUACCCCCGUAGUCCCAGCCCUAAACGAUGCGCGUUAGGUGUAUCGGUGACCACGAGUCACCGAGGUGCCGAAGGGAAACCGUGAAACGUGCCGCCUGGGAAGUACGGUCGCAAGGCUGAGACUUAAAGGAAUUGGCGGGGGAGCACCACAACGGGUGGAGCCUGCGGUUUAAUUGGACUCAACGCCGGGAAGCUUACCGGAUAAGACAGCGGAAUGAUUGCCGGGCUGAAGACCCUGCAUGACCAGCUG
rnacentral:rRNA from 1 species